UGGGUUUAGGGUUUGAGUCGGGCAGCAUCCCGACUGGGUUUUGGAAUAUGCUUUGGGUAAUAUUAGAUCCUGGGUGGUGGUAGUGGAUUUCAAGGUUUAAGGAAACUUGUACGACAAGCUCAGCUUCGACCCUAAUACGGGUGGAGCUGGCCAAGUUUCCUUUGGACUAGAACUUAAGAGCUUGCUCUAGGCAAGAUCAAGUGCAUGCAUGGCAGUGAUAGGGGUUAGCGGCGAUGAUAGGGCAGCAAGGAACAACUGGCUGGGUGCUGG
rnacentral:lncRNA from 1 species